UACGUAGGGUGCAAGCGUUGUCCGGAAUUAUUGGGCGUAAAGAGCUCGUAGGCGGUCUGUCGCGUCGAAUGUGAAAACCCGGGGCUCAACCCCGGGCCUGCAUUCGAUACGGGCAGACUAGAGUUCGGUAGGGGAGUCUGGAAUUCCUGGUGUAGCGGUGAAAUGCGCAGAUAUCAGGAGGAACACCGGUGGCGAAGGCGGGACUCUGGGCCGAUACUGACGCUGAGGAGCGAAAGCGUGGGGGAGCAAACAGG
rnacentral:rRNA from 1 species